rnacentral:rRNA from 1 species
GUAUUUUGACUGUGCAAAGGUAGCAUAAUCAUUUGUCUUUUAAUUGGAGGCUGGAAUGAAGGAGGUGACGAAAUUUAGACUAUUGAGGUAUAAAAUAAAAUUAACAUAAAGAUUAAAAGGUCUUUAUUAAUCAAAGGGACGAUAAGACCCUAUAAAACUUUACUAUGGACUAAAUUAUAUAGGGGGAAUCUAGAUAUAUAGUUUAGCUGGGGCGGCUUAUAUAAAAACAAUUGUAGGAAAAAUAUAUGGUAUAAAAAUUUAGAACUCUAAUAUGAAAUAAACAAGUUACUUUAGGGAUAACAGCAUAAUUCUCCCAGAGAGUCCUAAUUGGCGGGAGAGCUUAUGACCUCGAUGUUGAAUUGGGGUGUCUAGUAUAAGUAGAAAUAUAUUAAGAUAGUC